rfam:Cladophialophora psammophila CBS 110553 aczJe-supercont1.7, whole genome shotgun sequence.
UUUGGUGAUGACCCCGUGACACGAAUGGCAUUCCUCAGACUUAAUUCACCAUGUGGAAUCUGUCUAUUACAAGUUUCAGCCUUGUCUGAUC